GAUGAACGCUGGCGGCGUGCCUAAUACAUGCAAGUCGAGCGAACAGACGAGGAGCUUGCUCCUCUGACGUUAGCGGCGGACGGGUGAGUAACACGUGGAUAACCUACCUAUAAUACUGGGAUAAUUUCGGGAAACCGGAGCUAAUACCGGAUAAUAUAUUGAACCGCAUGGUUCAAUAGUGAAAGACGGUUUUGCUGUCACUUAUAGAUGGAUCCGCGCCGCAUUAGCUAGUUGGUAAGGUAACGGCUUACCAAGGCGACGAUGCGUAGCCGACCUGAGAGGGUGAUCGGCCACACUGGAACUGAGACACGGUCCAGACUCCUACGGGAGGCAGCAGUAGGGAAUCUUCCGCAAUGGGCGAAAGCCUGACGGAGCAACGCCGCGUGAGUGAUGAAGGUCUUCGGAUCGUAAAACUCUGUUAUUAGGGAAGAACAAAUGUGUAAGUAACUAUGCACGUCUUGACGGUACCUAAUCAGAAAGCCACGGCUAACUACGUG
rnacentral:rRNA from 1 species